rnacentral:tRNA from 1 species
AGAUUUUUUAAUACUUUCUUAA